CAAAACGGGCAAAUAUUUUACACAGAGAGUGGUGGAACGGGUUACCAGGGGAAGCAAAAACACAAAAGGUUGGGCAGAUACUGGAAAUCUGCAGGAAUGGCCUGGUAUGGGAACAGCAGAGGGUGGAAAGUCCUACAGGAAGUAGAGGAUACAGCCCAGCCCAGCAUAUCGCAGGUAGAACCUCUGGCGCUCUCUGUGUCCCCGUGCGGGGUCCCUGUGACGGAAUGCACUGCCUCCCACGUCCCUAAGACGUGCAGGGGUCACAGAGUUGUCCAGCAUUGAAUGAGACCCUUCGGCUCACUGUUGCUACGUUGGCCAUGAUGCCUAUCCAUACCGAUCCCCUAAUGGUGUACGGAGCUCUGGAUAGAGGGAGGGAGGACAUGUGAUGUUUAGGGUGGAUGGGCAUCUCUGGUCCGCAUCCAUCUCCUAAACCUCUCAUGCCUGCCUCCUAGUGGCACACCCCGGUACACCACUUCAGCUGGCAGGCUAAGUGACAUGAGGGGGUGGUGUUAACCUCGUCAGUGAAGCCAGAGUGGACGAGUUCCCCGAAGAGCUGCAGUGGCCACGUGUUCGAGACCAGGCAAGCCACCGAGUUGGAGGACAUAGUCUGUGGUCUGGCCUGGAUAGAGAUGGACCUCACCAGCCCCAGAAGCAUGAAAGUGCCCCUCCAACCCAUAAGAAGGGUGGUGGGAUCUGAACCGAGCCGAAUGGUGGGUUUGCUAUGUUGGCACCAGAACGAGUGGUGACAAGUCGAUCUGUGUCGGUUGAUUUGACUUGAUGAAAACGACACUCUUCAAGUCAAGUCAAGUCAAGUCACUUUUAUUGUCAUUUCAACCAUAACUGCUGGUACAGUUCAUAGUAAAAAUGAGACAACGUUUUUCAGGACCAUGGUGUUACAUGACACAGUACAAAAACUAGACUGAACUAUGUAAAAUAAAGCUACACUAGACUACACACCUACACUGGACUACAUAAAGUGCACAAAAUCAGUGCAGGCAUUACAAUAAAUAGUAAACAGGACAAUAGGGCAAGGUGUCAGUCCAGACUCUGGGUAUUGAGGAGUCUGAUAGCUUGGGGGAAGAAACUGUUACAUAGUCUAGUCGUGAGAGCCCGAAUGCUUUGGAGCCUUUUCCCAGACGGCAGGAGGGAGAAGGGAUUGUAUGAGGGGUGCAUGGGGUCCUUCAUAAUGCUGAUUCCUUUGUGGA